rnacentral:tRNA from 1 species
GGCGGUGUGUCCGAGUGGUUAAGGAGAUGGACUAGAAAUCCAUUAGGCUCUGCCUAAGCAGGUUCGAAUUCUGCCGCCGUCG